CCUACGGGUGGCAGCAGUGAGGAAUAUUGGUCAAUGGCCGGAAGGCUGAACCAGCCAUGCCGCGUGAAGGUCAGUGCCCUAUGGGCGUUAAACUUCUUUUGUGCGGGAGCAAUAAUGGUCACGUGUGGCCAGACGAGAGUACCGUACGAAUAAGCAUCGGCUAACUACGUGCCAGCAGCCGCGGUAAUACGUAGGUGGCAAGCGUUGUCCGGAUUUACUGGGUGUAAAGGGCGUGUAGCCGGGUUGACAAGUCAGAUGUGAAAUCCUGCGGCUUAACCGCAGAACUGCAUUUGAAACUGUUGAUCUUGAGUACUGGAGAGGCAGAUGGAAUUCCUAGUGUAGCGGUGAAAUGCGUAGAUAUUAGGAGGAACACCAGUGGCGAAGGCGGUCUGCUGGACAGCAACUGACGGUGAGGCGCGAAAGUGUGGGGAGCAAACAGGAUUAGAUACCCUUGUAGUC
rnacentral:rRNA from 1 species